rnacentral:misc_RNA from 1 species
UCCAAUCAGUUGGGAGGCAGACAUUGGUUCCGUCUUCAGUGCGGAACAGCCGGAAGUCGUAAUGUUUAUAAUUCAACAUGGCUUCCCUGGUGGCUGACUACAGCGGAAGCAGCGAUGACGAGUUCGAAUCCGACCCACGUAACAGUGAUGAAAAUCAUGGGAAGAAUUUGCUGGUUAUAAACGAAGAAGAAUCCAGUUCAGAAGAAAACGAAACCCUGGAGUCAAACCAGAACCGGGCACAAAUUCGGAGUUCAGAGAAUUCCCAAGACGAACAACUGCCAAACCCUUUCAGCACAAGUUCAAACCUUCCGACUCCAAACCUGGAAUCCAAACCAGGCACCGGUUCCCACUUGGUCUUCUCAAAUCCAUUCAAAGAGGAACAGACUCGGAAAGACUUCAUUCUGGAGCAACAUGUGAAGAUGACGGAAAAACCCAAGAGUUCCACGUCCAAAAAACAGAUUUGCUGGAAGUUCCGGCAAGGGAAAUGUAGGUUCAGCAAAAACUGCAAGUUCUCACACGACAUCGACAACCAUAUAGAAAGCCCGCUGGUGAAGGGCAACCAGAACGCUGAAGUUCCUGCGCCGAAACAGUUUUCAGGUGAUGUACUGCUCAAGGGCCAGGGGUCGCAGGUUUUGAAUCCAAAUGUCCCCGAUGAGGAUGAUUAUAUGAAUAUGAACAACAGGCGAAAGAAGAGAUCUGGGGUCUCGGAGGGUCUAGUUCCUCCAAAAAAGGCUAUGGUUAUGCUUAAUAAAAUACAGGCCCAAGAACGGCCGUGGACUGUGAAAAGGUAGAAACAUACCAAAUCCCCUAGCAGCCCCCUGUUUUUGUUCUCUGCACCCUUCUUUCUUUUUUUGUCCCUUCCUUCUUUACCCCGUAUUGAGAAUCAACUAGUAAAAAUGUAAUCAGAGCCUGAAGCCCUCAUACCAAAGCAAUACUCCUAUGAUGUGCUGCUCCAGGGAAGGACAUCACAAGUAUUUGAACCAAAUGUCCCAGAUGAGGGACAGCUAUAUGAACAUGGAAAACAGACAGCAAAAAAGGAUUGGGGUUUUGUCCAGUUCUGCGCCUCUACAGAAAUGCUUAAGAAAACCCAAGAAGAGUUGUGACCGUGAAAAGGUAAUCUUACCUACCUGACCCCAAAAGCCUGUCUGGUUUUUUUUUCUCUCCUCUUUUUCUGUAUCCUAUAUUUAGAAUCAAUAAGUACUAGUCCAAAAUCCUCUUACUAAAGUACCACUCACAGAAGCAUUGCAAAUAUUCAAACCAAAUGCCCCAAAGGAACACAGCUAAAUGGACAUGAAAAAAUGAUUCGGGUUUUACUUAAGAAAACCCAGGCCCUAGAACAGUAGCAACUGUGAAAAGGUAAACCUACCUGACCCUGCCAAAACACUUUGUGUUUUUUUUUCCCCCUUCUUUACCCUAUAUUAAGAAUCGGUUAAUAAGAAAUCCUCAUACAAAAGCACAUUUCUGAGAGAAUUCGCUGCUUGCAGGUGAAGCAUCACAAAUACUUGAGCCAGGGGCCCCAGAUGAGGACAGCUACAUGAACGUGAAAAAAUAGCUGAAGUUUUAGGCAGUAGUGCAUCUAUGAAAAUACUGAAGAAAAUUUAAGCCAUGAACUGUGAAAAGCUGCACCUACCUUACCCCUAAAAGCUCUCUGUUCUUAUAUUUUUCUCUUCUUCCUCCCAUGUUGAGAAUCGGUUAGUAAGAAAUAAUCUGAAAUCCUCAUACAGAAACAGUAUUUCCGUUAAUGUGCUGCUCCUCGUGGGUAAGGCAUCUCAGAUGAGGACAGCUGUAUGGACAUGAAAAAUGAUUGGGGUUUUAGGGAGUUUUUGUGCCUAUGGGAAUACUGAAUAAAAUUCAGGCCCAAGAGAAGUUACAAUCUUACAUACCCCCCUUCACUGCCCCAUUUUAAGAGUACUAAAAGCAUCAAAGUCCUUGUGCCGAAACAGGACCCAGGCAGCGCCCUGCUCAAGGGCAAGGCAUCAAACUGAAAGUCCCGGAUGACCCCUCCUUCUCCUCAUCACCCCUCUCCUUCCUCUUCGUUUGUAGAAAAUUCCAGAAGCCAUCAGUUGGUCUGUAACUAACUUCUGCCCAGGAGACAAGAAGUCUUUUUUACUGGCUCAGGUUCAAACUCACAAGGAACAUAAUAAUAAUAAUCCUUUCUACUAUAAGUACUAGGCCUGAUGUGGUGAUAGUCGAUUACAUUGACCCCAGUAUGCAACUGGUACUUAAUUUAUUGACCCUGAAAGGAUGACAGACAGAGGAAAUGCCUCUAAGCAUUUUGUCCAGCAGACGAAUGAUUCUGCCCAGUCGCCAUAGUAACUGGUGGGGGACAAACACA